GAUGGUUGGGUUAAGUCCCGUAACGAGCGCAACCCGUUGUCCUUAGUUACCAGCACGUUAUGGUGGGCACUCUAAGGAGACUGCCGGUGACAAACCGGAGGAAGGUGGGGAUGACGUCAAGUCAUCAUGGCCCUUACGGCCUGGGCUACACACGUGCUACAAUGGUCGGUACAAAGGGUUGCCAAGCCGCGAGGUGGAGCUAAUCCCAUAAAACCGAUCGUAGUCCGGAUCGCAGUCUGCAACUCGACUGCGUGAAGUCGGAAUCGCUAGUAAUCGUGAAUCAGAAUGUCACGGUGAAUACGUUCCCGGGCCUU
rnacentral:rRNA from 1 species